rnacentral:misc_RNA from 1 species
GGUCUUCUUCUCGGAGUCAAAAAUCGCCGCAACCAAACACCAUUUAUUUUCUCUUUUCUUUCUAUUUCUUUCUCAUUUCUCUUCAUAUUAAAAUUCAUCAUUUCUUCAUCACCAUCCAACAAUCUCAUGACCUGAAUUAGAUCCGGAUCGAGGAGGGAGUGAAUAGAAGGGAAUAGCCACAUACAGACAGAGAGAAAGUGAAGAUGAGUGAGAGCCAGAGGUUCCAGCUGGGGACUCUGGGUGCUCUGAGUUUAUCAGUUGUAUCGUCGGUUUCGAUUGUGAUAUGCAACAAGGCUCUCAUUAGUACUCUCGGUUUCACUUUUGCCACAACAUUAACAAGCUGGCAUCUUCUGGUCACAUUUUGUUCUCUUCAUGUGGCAUUAUGGAUGAAAUUGUUUGAACACAAGCCUUUUGAUGCAAGAGCUGUGAUGGGAUUUGGCAUAUUAAAUGGGACAUCCAUUGGGCUUUUGAAUCUUAGUUUGGGUUUCAAUUCUGUUGGUUUCUACCAGAUGACGAAAUUGGCAAUCAUCCCAUGUACGGUUCUUUUGGAGACACUUUUCUUCAGGAAGAGAUUCAGCCGGAAUAUCCAGCUUUCACUGGCGAUCCUUCUUGUGGGUGUUGGAAUUGCAACUGUGACUGAUCUUCAACUCAAUGUCCUUGGUUCUGUCUUGUCUGUACUUGCAGUUAUUACAACUUGUAUUGCUCAGAUUAUGACCAAUACUAUCCAGAAGAAGUUCAAAGUCUCUUCCACCCAACUUUUAUAUCAGUCUUGCCCCUAUCAAGCAUUAACUUUGUUCAUUAUUGGUCCAUUUCUAGAUGGCCUACUGACUAAUCAAAAUGUUUUUGCUUUCAAGUACACCCCUCAAGUUCUGUUCUUCAUAGUUCUGUCCUGCCUGAUAUCCGUCUCUGUGAACUUCAGUACUUUUCUGGUAAUUGGGAAAACAUCACCCGUCACCUAUCAGGUCCUAGGGCAUCUGAAAACAUGCCUAGUUUUGGCCUUUGGUUAUGUUCUACUUCGUGACCCUUUUAGCUGGCGCAACAUUUUGGGGAUCCUUAUUGCAGUAAUUGGGAUGGUACUGUAUUCAUAUUAUUGCACUGUUGAGAAUCAGCAGAAGGCCAGUGAAGCGUCGACAAAAUUGCCUGAGGUCAAGGAAAGUGAAUCUGAUCCUCUGGUUGGUGUGGAAAAUGGAAGUGGAAUUUUAGCCGAUGGUGUCGUUCAAAAAGCUCCUGUAUGGAAUUCAAACAAGGAUCUUCAUGCAUAAACCUCAAAUUUUAUAAAUUCAUUCACCCUAGAUCAAUAUUAGUAGGUGAAACUUUUUCAGCGAUGAAGAUGUUGCUGGCAAGGGUCUUCAUAUAUCGCAGUUGGGGUAUUCUGAGAUCAUUUCCUCUAUUAUAUUAGACUGAGUUGAAGGAAAUUGUCCUUUUAUAUAGCAUUUUUGGUUUUUAGUUUUGCAUGAAUCAGAAAUGGCAAUGGGAUGAUACCGGAAUUUGACUUGUUAAAUGUAUACUUUUGUUCCCCAAUACUAGAAAAAAAAGAAUUCCAUUAAUGUUCUUUCUGUUUGUAUUCCUACCAAUCUGUGAAGAAUGAAGGCUUCUUGCCCUUGACUACAUUCUGUUUUGAUGUCUCUCAUAAAUGCGCAGUACAUUGAUUUUAAUUUUCUU